GAAUUAUUGGGCGUAAAGAGCUCGUASGCGGUUUGUCGCGUCUGUCGUGAAAGUCCGGGGCUUAACCCCGGAUCUGCGGUGGGUACGGGCAGACUAGAGUGCAGUAGGGGAGACUGGAAUUCCUGGUGUAGCGGUGGAAUGCGCAGAUAUCAGGAGGAACACCGAUGGCGAAGGCAGGUCUCUGGGCUGUAACUGACGCUGAGGAGCGAAAGCAUGGGGAGCGAACAGGAUUAGAUACCCUGGUAGUCCAUGCCGUAAACGUUGGGCACUAGGUGUGGGGACCAUUCCACGGUUUCCGCGCCGCAGCUAACGCAUUAAGUGCCCCGCCUGGGGAGUACGGCCGCAAGGCUAAAACUCAAAGGAAUUGACGGGGGCCCGCACAAGCGGCGGAGCAUGCGGAUUAAUUCGAUGCAACGCGAAGAACCUUACCAAGGCUUGACAUGUUCUCGAUCGCCGUAGAGAUACGGUUUCCCCUUUGGGGCGGGUUCACAGGUGGUGCAUGGUUGUCGUCAGCUCGUGUCGUGAGAUGUUGGGUUAAGUCCCGCAACGAGCGCAACCCUCGUUCCAUGUUGCCAGCACGUCGUGGUGGGGACUCAUGGGAGACNGCCGGGGUCAACUCGGAGGAAGGUGAGGACGACGUCAAAUCAUCAUGCCCCUUAUGUCUUGGGCUUCACGCAUGCUACAAUGGCCGGUACAAUGGGUUGCGAUACUGUGAGGUGGAGCUAAUCCCAAAAAGCCGGUCUCAGUUCGGAUUGGGGUCUGCAACUCGACCCCAUGAAGUCGGAGUC
rnacentral:rRNA from 1 species